UACGGAGGGUGCAAACGUUGCUCGGAAUCAUUGGGCGUAAAGCGCACGUAGGCGGUUUGUUAAGUCGGGUGUGAAAGCCCAGGGCUCAACCCUGGAAGUGCACUCGAAACUGGCAGGCUUGAAUAUGGAAGAGGGUCGCGGAAUUCCCGGUGUAGAGGUGAAAUGCGCAGAUAUCGGGAGGAACACCAAUGGCGAAGGCAGCUCGCUGGGACGGUACUGACGCUGAGGUGCGAAAGCGUGGGGAGCAAACAGG
rnacentral:rRNA from 1 species